rnacentral:rRNA from 1 species
AGGGUGUAAACGCUGCAGACUUGGUGUUGGAAGCCCUUUGGGGGCAUUCAGUGCCGGAGAGAAGUUGUUAAGUCUGCUACUUGGGGAGUACGUCCGCAAGGAUGAAACUUAAAGGAAUUGGCAGGGGAGCACCGCAACGGGAGGAGCGUGCGGUUUAAUUGGAUUCAGCACCGUAAAACUCACCAGGGAAGACUGUUACAUGAAGGCCGAGAUGAAGACUCUGCUAGAUUUUCAGAGAGGUGGUGCAUGGCGUCAGUGACU